rnacentral:antisense_RNA from 1 species
GGAGGAGGGGAACACCCAGCCCCAGAAACAGGGUCUCACUUUGUCACCCAGGUUGGAAUGCAGCAGUACAAGCAUGGCUCACUGCAGCCUCAACCUCUCAGGCUCACGCAAUCCAAGCUAUCCUCCCACCUCAGCCUCUUGAGUAGCUGGGACUACAAGUGCCUGCCACAUCUAAUUUUUUGUAUUUUUUGUAGAGAUGGGGUUUUGCCAUGUUGCCCAGGCUGGUCUCGAACUUCUGAGCGCAAGUGAUUCAUCUGCCUUAGCCUCCCAAAGUGCUGGGAUUACAGGCGUGAGCUACUUUUUUUUUUUAAACAGAUAAUCAACAGGGCCAAAGCAAUUAAGUCAUUUUCCCAGUCACUUGGCCAAUAAGCAGCAAGUCAAUGACCAGAACAAAUUAUACAACUUUCAUCUUCCCAUAACUGAUCUAAGCCUACAAAAAAAACGGAUGAGACUAGACAGAAGAAACAGUGUCAUCUUCAUCCCCUGGUCAUCUACUCAAGAACUACGCAAAAGCCAUAUGUAACAGAAAUCUAGGACCACAGGCUACAGUGCCAUGGCACAAACAUGGCUCAAUGCAGCCUCAACAGCUUGGGCUCAAGCAAUUCUCCCACCUCAGCCUCCAGAGUAGCUGGGGCUACAGGCAUAUGCCCCACUGUGCCUGGCUAAUUUUUUUUUUUAAACAGGGUCUUGCCAUGUUACUCAGACUGGUCUCAAACUCCUAGGCUCAAGCAAUCCUCCCACCUUGGCCUCCCAAGGUGCUGGGGUUACAUGCAUGAGCCACCAUGCCCGGCCAUAUAUCCUACUAUUCUUAAGAUUCAGUUCAAGUUCCAUCCGUGUGUGAUGUCUCCUUGACCACUCACUGCACAAUUCUCUCCCU